AUAUCUAAAAAAAAAAAAAAAAAAAAAAAUCAAAAAACAAAGAAAAAUGAAAAGAUGUAAAGGCCUCAGUCUUAACAACCCUACACAAGAACAAGACAGUUUUCUCAUAGACUGAAAAGAAGAUGACAUUAAAAGCUAAAACAACACAUUCCCCAUUUGAAGACGCUAGUUUUGAAUGUGCUGGGUUGAUUGAAAAACGAAAAAAAAAAAAAAAAAAAAAAAAAAAAAAAGGACCCUGCUUACACAGAAACCCUUGAAAUGUUAGAUAACUUCCAUCGACAAAAAUACAAAGCCCUUUAACAGCAUUUUUUCUCCAACAGCACUAUUUUGGAAGAGUUCAAAUUCGAGGGUGACAGACUCGAGUAGUGGUUUAGGGUCUCACUAACCAGAGCUUAAUUACAGACGGCCCCGCAUCGCUUGUUUUGACACAUCAUGUUUUUGAUCUCAAAACUAGUUUUUUCCGCAUGGUAAGGAGCAUGUUUUGCAAGCAUCCUGUAAUAUCAUUAUACAAAAAAGAGAAAAGGAUCUUGUGAUUGUUUGAAACUCUUAGAUUGUGCACGUGUAAAAUAAUCUCUUGAGAUGGAAAAGUAAUUAUUUCCCUAUUGACGGUAUCAUUUAUUUUUAUUGGUGAUCUUAUAUUCAAUGCUAGUCCUGCUCUAAGCGAAUAGAAAUUGAGCAGAUUAACUAAGACAAAAGUCAAAAUUGAACGCAUCUAACAAAAAUCCCCUAGAAAAAGCUGAACCAAAAGUUACCAUUGAUAAUCCUGUACGAGAAAUAUUGUAGCACAUAUAGGACAUUCAAUUUCUGGUCUCAGACCAAUUUUAUGCCAAAGCUCAAAUAAAUGAUUGACAAUGUGAUCUUGUUUAAUUUUUGUUAAUUAAUUUUUUGCAAUAAAGUUAAUUUGUUUAAACAGUU